UGUGUAUGCAAAAGAAACUAGCUGAAUGUGAGUUGAAAGAAUUAUUUGACUUACUGAGAAAGCAUUACGUUCCAAAGAUGAAUUACAUUGCAGAGAGAGAUAAAUUCCACACCAGAAAAUAAAGAAUGGACGA